GAGAAAGACAACAACCAUGAAGGUGGUUUUCCUAGGGCAAGGUUUACCCACUGCAUUCCAGAUGUGCUGACCUUUGCGAUUUCCCCAAAUGUGGGAAAACUCA
rnacentral:snRNA from 1 species